GAUGAACGCUGGCGGCGUGCCUAAUACAUGCAAGUCGAGCGAAUGGAUUGAGAGCUUGCUCUUAUGAAGUUAGCGGCGGACGGGUGAGUAACACGUGGGUAACCUGCCCAUAAGACUGGGAUAACUCCGGGAAACCGGGGCUAAUACCGGAUAACAUUUUGAACCGCAUGGUUCGAAAUUGAAAGGCGGCUUCGGCUGUCACUUAUGGAUGGACCCGCGUCGCAUUAGCUAGUUGGUGAGGUAACGGCUCACCAAGGCAACGAUGCGUAGCCGAACUGGGAGGGUGAUCGGCCACACUGGGACGGAGACACGGCCCAGACUCCUACGGGAGGCAGCAGUAGGGAAUCUUCCGCAAUGGACGAAAGUCUGACGGAGCAACGCCGCGUGAGUGAUGAAGGCUUUCGGGUCGUAAAGCUCUGUUGUUAGGGAAGAACAAGUGCUAGUUGAAUAAGCUGGCACCUUGACGGUACCUAACCAGAAAGCCACGGCUAACUACGUGCCAGCAGCCGCCGUAA
rnacentral:rRNA from 1 species